ACUCCUACGGGAGGCAGCAGUGAGGAAUAUUGGUCAAUGGGCGAAAGCCUGAACCAGCCAUGUCGCGUGCAGGACGACUGCCCUAUGGGGUUGUAAACUGCUUUUAUAUGGGAAGAAAUGCGAGUACGUGUACUUGUUUGCCGGUACCAUAUGAAUAAGCAUCGGCUAACUCCGUGCCAGCAGCCGCGGUAAUACGGAGGAUGCGAGCGUUAUCCGGAUUCAUUGGGUUUAAAGGGUGCGUAGGCGGAAGUGUAAGUCAGGGGUGAAAGUUUGCAGCUCAACUGUAAAAUUGCCUUUGAUACUGCAUUUCUUGAGUACAUUUGAGGUAGGCGGAAUGUGUUGUGUAGCGGUGAAAUGCUUAGAUAUAACACAGAACACCGAUUGCGAAGGCAGCUUACUAAACUGUAACUGACGCUGAUGCACGAAAGCGUGGGGAUCGAACAGGAUUAGAUACCCCUGGUAGCGACUGA
rnacentral:rRNA from 1 species